CGGCAACAGCUCAAAUUUGAAAUCUGGCCUCUCGGGGUCCGAGUUGUAAUUUGUAGAGGAUGCUUUUGGUGCGGUGCCUUCCGAGUUCCCUGGAACGGGACGCCUUAGAGGGUGAGAGCCCCGUACGGUUGGACGCCUAGCCUCUGUAAAGCUCCUUC
rnacentral:rRNA from 1 species